GAGGAUAGGAGAACGGGAUCGAAAGCCCGGCCGAAGAAGGUGAAAGCCCUGUAACCGAAAUCCGAGCGAAGCCUAAUGGGAUCCUGAGUACGGCGAGACACGAGAAAUCUUGUCGGAAGCAGGCGGGACCAUCCGCCAAGGCUAAAUAUAAACGAGUGAGCGAUAGUGAACCAGUACCGUGAGGGAAAGGUGAAAAGAACCGCGGGAGCGGAGUGAAAGAGAACCUGAAACCGUAUGCCUACAAGAAGUCAGAGCCCGUUAAGGGGUGAUGGCGUGCCUUUUGUAGAAUGAACCGGCGAGUUGCGACAGACUGCGAGGUUAAGGAGGAAAGACCGGAGCCGAAGCGAAAGCGAGUCUUAAGAGGGCGAAAGUAGGAUGUUGCAGACCCGAAACCGGGUGAUCUAGCCAUGAGCAGGUUGAAGUUG
rnacentral:rRNA from 1 species